UACGAAGGGGGCUAGCGUUGCUCGGAAUCACUGGGCGUAAAGCGCACGUAGGCGGCUUCUUAAGUCAGGGGUGAAAUCCCGGAGCUCAACUCCGGAACUGCCUUUGAUACUGGAGAUCUUGAGUCCGGGAGAGGUGAGUGGAACUCCGAGUGUAGAGGUGAAAUUCGUAGAUAUUCGGAAGAACACCAGUGGCGAAGGCGGCUCACUGGCCCGGUACUGACGCUGAGGUGCGAAAGCGUGGGGAGCAAACAGGG
rnacentral:rRNA from 1 species